GGCUUAGACAGCUAGGAUGUUGGCUUAGAAGCAGCCAUCAUUUAAAGAAAGCGUAAUAGCUCACUAGUCGAGUCGGCCUGCGCGGAAGAUGUAACGGGGCUAAACUAUGCACCGAAGCUGCGGCAGUGUGUGAAUAAUAUAUUGGGUAGGGGAGCGUUCUGUAAGCUGUUGAAGGUGUCUUGUGAGGGAUGCUGGAGGUAUCAGAAGUGCGAAUGCUGACAUAAGUAACGAUAAAGCGGGUGAAAAGCCCGCUCGCCGGAAGACCAAGGGUUCCUGUCCAACGUUAAUCGGGGCAGGGUGAGUCGACCCCUAAGGUGAGGCCGAAAGGCGUAGCUGAUGGGAAACGGGUUAAUAUUCCCGUACUGUGUAUAACUGCGAUGGGGGGACGGAGAAGGCUAGGUUUACCACUUAUUGGAUGGUGGGUUAAGCAAGUAGGGGUGUGAUUAGGCAAAUCCGGUCACUAAAACUCUGAGAUGUGAUGACGAGGCACUAAGGUGCUGAAGUAAUUGAUGCCAUGCUUCCAGGAAAAGCCUCUAAGCUUCAGGUUAUAUGUAAUCGUACCCCAAACCGACACAGGUGGUCAGGUAGAGAAUACUAAGGCGCUUGAGAGAACUCGGGUGAAGGAACUAGGCAAAAUGGUGCCGUAACUUCGGGAGAAGGCACGCUGAUGUAGAUUGUAGCCCCGUGCGGGUGAAGGUUGAAUCAGUCGAAGAUACCAGCUGGCUGCAACUGUUUAAUAAAAACACAGCACUCUGCAAACACGUAAGUGGACGUAUAGGGUGUGACGCCUGCCCGGUGCUGGAAGGUUAAUUGAUGGGGUUAUCCGUAAGGAGAAGCUCUUGAUCGAAGCCCCAGUAAACGGCGGCCGUAACUAUAACGGUCCUAAGGUAGCGA
rnacentral:rRNA from 1 species